rnacentral:rRNA from 1 species
AUUGAACGCUGGCGGCAUGCUUUACACAUGCAAGUCGAACGGUAACAGGCCUUCGGGUGCUGACGAGUGGCGAACGGGGGAGUAAUGCAUCGGAACGUACCCAGAGGUGGGGGUUAACGCAGCGAAAGCUGUGCUAAUACCGCAUGUGAUCUGAGGAUGAAAGCGGGGGACCGAGCAGCAAUGUUUGGCCUCGCGCCUUUGGAGCGGCCGAUGUCGGAUUAGCUAGUUGGUGGGGUAAAGGCCUACCAAGGCGACGAUCCGUAGCUGGUCUGAGAGGACGACCAGCCACACUGGAACUGAGACACGGCCCAGACUCCUACGGGAGGCAGCAGUGGGGAAUUUUGGACAAUGGGCGCAAGCCUGAUCCAGCAAUGCCGCGUGCGGGAAGAAGGCCUUCGGGUUGUAAAGCGCUUUUGGCAGGAACGAAACGGUGUCCGCUAAUACCGGGCGCUAAUGACGGUACCUGCAGAAUAAGCACCGGCUAACUACGUG